rnacentral:misc_RNA from 1 species
UACGAAGGGAGCUAGCGUUGUUCGGAAUCACUGGGCGUAAAGCGCACGUAGGCGGAUUUGUUAGUCAGGGGUGAAAUCCCGGGGCUCAACCUCGGAACUGCCUUUGAUACUGCAAAUCUCGAGUCCGAGAGAGGUGGGUGGAAUUCCUAGUGUAGAGGUGAAAUUCGUAGAUAUUAGGAAGAACACCGGUGGCGAAGGCGGCCCACUGGCUCGGUACUGACGCUGAGGUGCGAAAGCGUGGGGAGCAAACAGG